rfam:Anopheles epiroticus strain epiroticus2 unplaced genomic scaffold supercont1.7, whole genome shotgun sequence.
AAAAAUUAAAGGCCCUGUAACGGGGUGGAAUCUGAAGACUCCUGAAGAUUCCAUCCAACUCCUAUUCCGACACGUCCACGUCGUGCAGGGUGGUAACAUGGGCCCGAAUCCAACCUUUGGGGAGGGUGACGGCUCAUGGCUAAAGGGGAAGGG